UGCAGUGCAGUAUUUACCGAAUUCCUAAGAGCAGGGCUGGGGCUUAGAUGUGUCUUACCGUGCCCGGCCCAGGGCUCUGCACACAAGAUGGAGUCGCGCUACGUGGCCCAGGCUGAUCUCAAACUCCUGAAAUCCAAUGAUCCUCCCACCUCGGCCUCCCCCUCUGCAUAUAGUAGGUGCUCAAUAAAGACCAACCAGAUGCA